UUGAACGCUGGCGGUAUGCUUAACACAUGCAAGUCGAACGGAAACGAUACUAGCUUGCUAGUAGGCGUCGAGUGGCGGACGGGUGAGUAACGCGUAGGAAUCUGCCUGAUAGUGGGGGAUAGCCCGAAGAAAUUCGGAUUAAUACCGCAUAAUCUAUUCGUAGUAAAGUGGGGGACUUUCGAGCCUCACGCUAUCAGAUGAGCCUGCGUAAGAUUAGCUUGUUGGUAGGGUAAAAGCCUACCAAGGCGACGAUCUUUAGCUGGUCUGAGAGGAUGAUCAGCCACAUCGGGACUGAGACACGGCCCGAACUCCUACGGGAGGCAGCAGUGGGGAAUAUUGGACAAUGGGGGCAACCCUGAUCCAGCAAUACCGCGUGUGUGAAGAAGGCCUGAGGGUUGUAAAGCACUUUCAAUUGUGAAGAAAAGUUAGCGGUUAAUAACCGUUAGCCUUGACGUUAACUUUAGAAGAAGCACCGGCUAACUCCGUGCCAGCAGCCGCGGUAAUACGGAGGGUGCAAGCGUUAAUCGGAAUUACUGGGCGUAAAGCGUGCGUAGGCGGUUUAUUAAGUCAGAUGUGAAAGCCCCGGGCUUAACCUGGGAACUGCAUUUGAAACUGGUCAACUAGAGUAUGGUAGAGGAAAGUGGAAUUUCUGGUGUAGCGGUGAAAUGCGUAGAUAUCAGAAGGAACAUCAAUGGCGAAGGCAGCUUUCUGGACCAAUACUGACGCUGAGGUACGAAAGCGUGGGUAGCAAACAGGAUUAGAUACCCUGGUAGUCCACGCCGUAAACGAUGAUAACUAGCCGUUGGGGGGAUUUACCCUUUAGUGGCGAAGCUAACGCGUUAAGUUAUCCGCCUGGGGAGUACGGCCGCAAGGUUAAAACUCAAAGGAAUUGACGGGGACCCGCACAAGCGGUGGAGCAUGUGGUUUAAUUCGAUGCAACGCGAAGAACCUUACCUGGUCUUGACAUCCUGCGAACUUUCUAGAAAUAGAUUGGUGCCUUCGGGAACGCAGUGACAGGUGCUGCAUGGCUGUCGUCAGCUCGUGUCGUGAGAUGUUGGGUUAAGUCCCGUAACGAGCGCAACCCCUAUCCUUAUUUGCCAGCACAUCAUGGUGGGAACUAUAAGGAGACUGCCGGUGAUAAACCGGAGGAAGGCGGGGACGACGUCAAGUCAUCAUGGCCCUUACGACCAGGGCUACACACGUGCUACAAUGGGAAGGACAAAGAGCCGCGAAGCCGCGAGGUGUAGCUAAUCUCAUAAACCUUUUCGUAGUCCGGAUUGGAGUCUGCAACUCGACUCCAUGAAGUCGGAAUCGCUAGUAAUCGUAGAUCAGAAUGCUACGGUGAAUACGUUCCCGGGUCUUGUACACACCGCCCGUC
rnacentral:rRNA from 1 species